UCCACAUUAAAAUGGAAGAUCUGUCUGCAGUGAUGUGAGCACAGCAGACAGGAGCAGGUACCUCUGUGGUCUACAACAAGAGAACCUAUUUGUCCUGGGUGCAGCAGUGAGCAGUGAGGGACUGAGUCAUGUGGACCACGGGCAGGCUCCUGGGACCUGCUUGAAUCCUGAACAAGGCAACCCUUUUAAACAAGUAAAGAUUUUGGGCCUCUGAGAAGACAAAAGGUGAUACAAGUUCAGAAAAUGAACCAGAAGGAAAGCAUCAGAAGUGAGAAAAAAAACAAACCUGUGUGACUCAGAUAUAACUUGGGUAGGAUGGGGAGGGGUGGGAGUGAUGGGGAGAAUUUGGCAAAAAAAUAUACUACAAUUGCUACAGUUGUGGCAUGUUUCUGUAAAUAAAAGAGGUUCUGUCCCUGUCAGCAGUUUUUCCUAACUGAAAAAAAUACAGAAGACCAAACUGUUUUGGCUAACUGUGUCAAAAGUGUGACAGGAAAUGUUCUGGUAUUGCAGGAUACCUUUGCUGAAUAUAUUUGAUCAUAGAACAUGGAUUGGAAAGGAAAAUAGAAACAAAUUAAGAGGAAAUAACUACCUAGAUAAAACUUGUUUCUCCAUGUCUAUUUCUCAGCAAUCAUACCCCCAAAUAUUCUUUUUCCCCCAGUUUUCACUUAUCACUUCUUUGGAAAUCACUGAUCUGGCC